rnacentral:rRNA from 1 species
GCUCAGGAUGAACGCUAGCUACAGGCUUAACACAUGCAAGUCGAGGGGAAACGAUAGAGAAAGCUUGCUUUUUCUAGGCGUCGACCGGCGCACGGGUGAGUAACGCGUAUCCAACCUGCCCAUCACUUGGGGAUAACCUUGCGAAAGUAAGACUAAUACCCAAUGAUAUCUCUAGAAGACAUCUGAAAGAGAUUAAAGAUUUAUCGGUGAUGGAUGGGGAUGCGUCUGAUUAGCUUGUUGGCGGGGUAACGGCCCACCAAGGCGACGAUCAGUAGGGGUUCUGAGAGGAAGGUCCCCCACAUUGGAACUGAGACACGGUCCAAACUCCUACGGGAGGCAGCAGUGAGGAAUAUUGGUCAAUGGACGAGAGUCUGAACCAGCCAAGUAGCGUGCAGGAUGACGGCCCUAUGGGUUGUAAACUGCUUUUAUAAGGGAAUAAAGUGAGUCUCGUGAGACUUUUUGCAUGUACCUUAUGAAUAAGGACCGGCUAAUUCCGUGCCAGCAGCCGCGGUAAUACGGAAGGUCCGGGCGUUAUCCGGAUUUAUUGGGUUUAAAGGGAGCGUAGGCCGGAGAUUAAGCGUGUUGUGAAAUGUAGACGCUCAACGUCUGCACUGCAGCGCGAACUGGUUUCCUUGAGUACGCACAAAGUGGGCGGAAUUCGUGGUGUAGCGGUGAAAUGCUUAGAUAUCACGAAGAACUCCGAUUGCGAAGGCAGCUCACUGGAGCGCAACUGACGCUGAAGCUCGAAAGUGCGGGUAUCGAACAGGAUUAGAUACCCUGGUAGUCCGCACGGUAAACGAUGGAUGCCCGCUGUUGGUCUGAAUAGGUCAGCGGCCAAGCGAAAGCAUUAAGCAUCCCACCUGGGGAGUACGCCGGCAACGGUGAAACUCAAAGGAAUUGACG